UCAAAAAUAAAUAAAUAAAUAAAUAAUAUAUUAAAAAAAUAAAAUGGUCCUCCCCCAUUAGCCACGAAUUCUCUACAGGUAAUCUCCAUUCAUGAAUUCUUCAGUCACCAGUAAUACUCUAUUGAGAUAGCUGCAGUUACACAUGAAGCCAUACUUUUAAAGAGCUCAGUGGUAAUGUGUAAUUUCCUAUGUUUCCCCCAAAUCGUCUGAUUCUUAUCAAGUUCGGCCACUAGAUUUGUCAAACUGUGGUUUUCUAUUUUACAAUGUUAAAGGCUUUACUGUGGCAGAAAUAUCUGUGUACAAGGAGUCAAGAAAUUGGAGCUGCCCCUGACUCUGCACGGGGAUCUGUUGCGAUGCUUUUGGUUGCAAGUGACAGAAAAGCCAGUUUGAGUGUCUCAACAACAGAGGAAGUUUAUUGGCCUGUGCACUGGGUCCUGGCUGGGCCUGCCUGUUCUUUCUUUAACACCCAUCCCUCGCCGCUGGAGCCGAUAGCGGGGUCAGUCCCACUCGUGCCACAGGACUGGAAUUUGAGGGUGCUGUUGGACCCUGGCAAGGAAACUCCCAGUGUGCAUUCUGUGACAUGUGGCCCUAAAUCACUUCGCUUCUCCGGGCUUCAUUUGCCUCAUUUAAUUAGGGGCUUGUCCGAUACCAUUAGUAAAGUCCUUCCCAAGAGUAACCUUUAAGAUUUUAUUUUCUGUUUACAUUAAUUGGUUUUUGUAAUGAAUAAACAAAUCUUUUCUGGCCAGUGCUGUCAGGCCAAGAAUGUAAUUAGUAAAUAAAUAGCUCUGUGUAGAUUAAAUGAUAAGUCAGGGCAGCGAGCCUUAGUGACUUUCUUCCUACUCGUGAGUUGUAGAUUUUGAUCUAGAAAAAUGAGCCGUGGAGGAUGUGAGGGAGGAGCCCUGGAACAUGGCUGAUGAAACCUGGUCUGACUUAGUAGGCGUAUCUUUUGCGUAGCAAAUGCAACUUGGUUGUUCAUUCACAGGAGAUCUGGGAAGGUCUGGGCAGGGUUUCUUUUUCUUACCCUGAUCAUCGGAGACUUUGCUGUGAUGCUGGUAUCACAAGGAAGCUGAGAGGUUGAAUUUGGAUCCAGCGGGAGCUGGUGUUGGCAGCAGCCAGAGGGACUCUAAAUGUCAGUGGACUCGGAUCCCUGUGGAGAGCUGAGGGUUUUUUGGGACUGAAACCACAGACCUCAGCUUUCUGCUUCAUCCACUUCUUCCAGAGCCUUUGGCUAACCGCGCGAUGAGAUUCUAGUCGUGGCCCAGGAGAGCUUUCAAGGAAGCAUAUGGAGGUGGUUCAUGAUGGAAUGAACUCCUCGGCCUUGGUGCCCAGAUCGACGUGGGAAUGCCACGGCCGUGUAGAUGCUGCAGGGGCCGGAGAAGACAGUGAGCUAUGGAAGCACGUCCCCUCCACAUCACCAGUGCCUGGAGCUGGGUGAAGACUCCGGAGCACCUGUGGGGCACGGGGCUGCCUCGGUAGGGGAGUCUUACCCUUCUGUCCAGGGUCUAUGGGAAAAGGUUAAUCUGAUCAGUAGUGAAGUCAGUAUAUUUUCAUGGCGACUUGCUGAUUUUUGAAUGUAUUUUUAGAGUUGGCAGAGGUUGAUCUGUGCCUCGAUCUAAGUCUCUGUCAUUUAGCUUUUGGAAGAUAGUUCUGGUGUGGUGGUCAGGAGUGUUUCUGAGCUGGCAGGCGAUAACUAGCUAACUUAGUGUGCAAAGUUCGCAAGACAGAGUUCGAAAAUGGUUUCUGGUGAAAUGGAAGCAUUAGCUGGAAGUGAAACUAUCAGAUCUUGAAACUAUCUCUAUCCCAGUGGUUGUAGCAUACGGAGAAAGGUUCAUUUGUUGGCUUGGGGGAGAGUAGAGCGUGGAUUGGAGAGAGAGUAGAUUGUUCUCUGAGUUGCAUGAUGGGCACCUUCAUACCAGUUUGUUCCUUCUGAGGGUCCAUCCGAAUGGGAGGUGGGGAUGGACUUGGAGUUUCAGGCCUGGCCUCUGGAACUGUCGCUGUUGUGAGUUAUUUGUUGUUGUUUUCACAGUCGUCAUGCUUUACGAUUCAGAUCGGAGCACAGGGCUGGUGUACGACCCUUGCCCUGGGUAUUUUGGUAUCUCGUAGAGAUGCUUGUCCGUUCGGUGAAUGGUGUCCAUAUUCUGUACGAGCCUCAGGAGCUGCACCGGGGCGGAGAGGAGGGGUGUCGUGGUUGGUGGCUCGUUAGACAACAUGCUAGGCAAAAACCAGAUCCAACAAUCCCCCAAAAUCUCUGACAGAGAAGCCCGGGAGGUAGAUCGCAAGCAGCAAGUUCCAUUUCUGUGAUCUUGGAAAUUAGGUGUGGAGAGGAUGUCGAGGUUAGAGAACAGAGCGGUGCAGAGGGUGGGCUCUGCGGGCCCCAAACGCAUGGGGUCUUGCCUUUCUGGCUUACCUCAACAAGCAUCUCUGGCAAAUACCUUCAUUUCUUUAAGCUCAGUACCCUCAUCCAUAAGAGGAUGACCGCGCUUCCCACGGAAAGGUAAAUGGAAGGAAGAGAUAAAUAAUGCAGGCAAAGCUCAAAGCGAGUAGGAAGCACGGGAGAGCUUUUGUCAUCAUGUGUGUUUUAUAAGUCUUUGGAUUGCAGUAAUGGGGUACUUGGUGUUCACUGUUUCGGCUGUUGCUGUGCAGGUGCCUUGAACAUCCCCAGGCAGAAUUAACAUUACCUUUGGUCCUCCCUCAGGAAAAGAAAAAGGAGGGCGGCGUGCAGAGUGGCCUCGGGCCGGUCAGGCUUCCCACCCGUGAAGGGAGAGGCAAGCUCUGUGUGGCAGACACGCUACCAACGUGUGGCUAGAUUUCAAAGCCAUAUUUUGUCCACACCUUUCCAUGGAAAGCCGACAGGCAUUGAGUUCGUGGAGGGCCAUAGAGCCGCCGACUCUCCAACGGGAUGGCAUUUUAGGCUUUUCCAUUUCUUUGGUUGGAAUUGGGUUUUUACACAUAGUUUGAAUAAAAAACCUCAACCCACAGCAACACUGCAAGAAGUCUUAGAGGACCAAGAGAAUGGCUUCCGAUUAGAUACAGAAACGUGGGUAAGAAAACAUGCCGAGCACGUGAAGACCAACCAGCCUGUGUCGGUAGGUGGCAAAGUACUUUGCUAUAAAUAUUGCAGGACUCCUCUUUCUCUACUUAAAAGAAACAUUGCUUUGCAUUGCAGACGUCAGAAAUGGCUGGACAAGCCUUUAGUUCAUGUGCAAGAAACUGUGAAAACAAUGUGAAAGAUUUUCCUAAAAUGGAGACAGAGCUUGGCCGAGUCUGGGGUUGGAGGUAAAGCCCCCCCCCCGCCCCCCGUCUUGGUUUGCCUUCCAUGCAUUGUUUCUCAUACGUUAUGCAAGACUCCCCAGGCCCCAAACCAUUCGUUUUUUUCCUGUAAUCUCAAGGUGUGCGCAGGGUAGAGCUCAGCUUUGGACCUUGCUGCUUUCACUUUUGGUUAGUCAGAACCUCCAUCUGGCGGCUUUUGAAUAUGAGUGUUUUCUGUGGCUUUUCUGUGGCUCCUUUUCAAAGUAUUCAAAGCAGUUUAAAAAUACAGAAUGUUCAGCGAUCUGACCAAGAGCUAAUGGCUGGUCCGGGGACUCUCACAUUUCAGAUGGCUUUUGCACCCCCAGCUUAAAUGAGAAGUUUUUCAUGGAUU